rnacentral:piRNA from 1 species
UCCAAGGACGAUGGAUGAAACAGGACC